AAGUCGUAACAAGGUUUCCGUAGGUGAACCUGCGGAAGGAUCAUUAACAAAUCGGCCGCAAGGCCACGCAAAGCCGCCGGCCUGCGGGCCGGCUGGUGGGACGCGGCUCUCCGGGGCGGUCCCGCGCAUGCAGACAGCAAUGUCUGUGUGUCUGCACACGGUAGUGUGUGCACCUGAACGCGUGUCGUGUUUGUCAGUCAAUGCAUGCCAUAAUAACAACAGACAACUUUUAACAAUGGAUCUCUUGGCUCUU
rnacentral:misc_RNA from 1 species